UGAAACCAUUAUUGUUUUGUUGACAAUUAUCAGUGACAAUAUCCUAUAGUGAUAAUAUUUUUACGUUACAUAUUUAAAAUUCAAAGCGCGGUAGUUAUGCUACAAAAGUUUUAACUUUAAGUAAUGUUAUUUAAAGAGUAGGUAUUUAAAGAGUACAUAACCCGAUUUAAUCGCAAUAAUAAAAGUAAAGUUACCGUGAGGUCUUAAGCUUGAUGUCUUACUAUCUUUCACGGUUUCGGCGACAAUCGUGGCGGAAGACGGGGCCGGCGCAUCCAAGGAAUUUGAAAUUGAAUUUAACUCUGACAUCGAAGUAAUUCUGUGGCUAGUUCCAUCACUUCC
rnacentral:misc_RNA from 1 species